UUGAGCCGGUUGCCUGGAAAGCGGGCACGGCCGGUUCUGAGGGGGCCCCCGGCGCAGCAAUGCGCCGGGGCUACCCGAC
rnacentral:ncRNA from 1 species